rnacentral:rRNA from 1 species
AGUAAUGUUGCGAUGAUCUGCUCUAGUUGUGUAAGAUAACCGCGGAAACCUGUGGCUAAGAGACUAGAAUGAGACGCAACCCUAUCAGUUUGUUGGUAGUGUAACGGACUACCAAGACUAUGACGGGUGACGGGAAAUCAGUGUUUGAUUCCGGAGAGGGAGCCUGAGAGAUGGCUCCCACGUCCAAGGAUGGCAGCAGGCGCGAAAAUUGUCCACUCUUUGUUGAGGAGACAGUUAUGAGGCGUGAUUGUAAGAGCGAAGAGUAAACAUCUUUGUGUAAUGCAACUAGAGGGCAAGUUUUGGUGCCAGCAGCCGCGGUAACUCCAACUCUAGAAGUGCCUAUUGUGGAUGCUGCAGUUAAAAAGUCCGUAGUCGUUGAUGCAAUUAAAAGGUGUAGAUCAAGUGCACCAAGUUUGUUAGUUGUGGCGGAGCGGACAGGGAGCAUGGUAUAGGUUGGCGAAGAAUGAAAUCUCAAGACCCAACCUGGACCAACUGAGGCGAAAGCGGUGCUCUUGUACGCGUCUGUGGAUCAAGGACGAAGGCUAGAGGAUCGAAAGUGAUUAGACACCGCUGUAGUUCUAGCAGUAAACUAUGCCGACAUUCUCUGUUGUUGAGACGGGGAGGGGAGAAAUCUUAGUUUUCGGGCUCUGGGGAUAGUACGCUUGCAAGAGUGAAACUUAAAGCGAAAUUGACGGAAGAUCACCACAAGGAGUGGAUUGUACUGCUUAAUUUGACUCAACACGGGAAAACUUACCAGGGCCAAGUCUCUCGUAGAUUGGCGACAUGAGAGGGGCAAGAGUGGUGCAUGGCCGUUGGAAAUUGAUGGGAUGACCUUUAGCUUAAGUGCUGUAACCAGUGAGAUCUUCUAGACAGGUGUCUUACUGACACAGGAAGGAGAAGGCUAUAACAGGUCCGUGAUGCCCUCAGAUGCCCUGGGCCGCAAGUGCAAUACAAUAUCCGUUUGAGCGACAUAAAUAUGCUUACGGAUGAG